AAAGGUAUAGCUCAGUGGUACAGCGCCUGCUUAGCAGGCACGACGUCCUGGGUUCAGUCCUCAGUACCUCCA
rnacentral:tRNA from 1 species